rnacentral:rRNA from 1 species
CCCUUAGAUGAUUUGGGCUGCACGCGCGCUACACUGACCCUAACAAUGAGCAACUGUCUGACCUGAGAUGGCUGGGUAGCCUUUUCAACCCAUGUCAUGAUUGGGCUAGAUUUUUGUAAGUCUUGAUCUCUAACGAGGAAUCCCUAGUAUGCGUGAAUCAUCAAUCCAUGCAGAUUAUGUCCCUGCCCUUUGUACACACCGCCCGUCGCUCCUACUGAUUGGGUGAUCCGGUGAGCUGUUCGGCCAUAGCAAUGUUUCUUGAGCAGGGCAAUGAAUGUUUCGCAAACCUUGCCACUUAGAGGAAGGAGAAGUCGUAACA